GACGAACGCUGGCGGCGUGCUUAACACAUGCAAGUCGAGCGGUAAGGCCCUUUCGGGGGUACGACGAGCGGCGAACGGGUGAGUAACACGUGGGUGACCUGCCCUCAGCUCUGGGAUAAGCCUGGGGAAACCGGGUCUAAUACCGGAUAUGACUCCAUGACGCAUGUUGUGGGGUGGAAAGCCUUGUGCGGCUGAGGAUGGGCCCGCGGCCUAUCAGCUUGUUGGUGGGGUGAUGGCCUACCAAGGCGACGACGGGUAGCCGGCCUGAGAGGGCGACCGGCCACACUGGGACUGAGACACGGCCCAGACUCCUACGGGAGGCAGCAGUGGGGAAUCUUGCGCAAUGGGCGAAAGCCUGAACGCAGCGACGCCGCGUGAGGGAUGACGGCCU
rnacentral:rRNA from 1 species